rnacentral:circRNA from 1 species
UGGAACAGCUGGUCCAAGAGCAGCUGAAAUCUCCGCCCAGCCCAGGUGAGGCACAGAGGAGCCCCAGAGAAGGAUGGCGGUGGGAGGAUAGUCAGGGUUCUGCCCCCAGCCAAAUUCUCUUCUGCCUCCAGAAUUACAGGGUCCCCCAUCGACAGAGAAGGAAGCCAUACUGCGGAGGCUGGUGGCCCUGCUGGAGGAGGAGGCAGAAGUCAUUAACCAGAAGGUGAUGGGCAUCUGUCCCACUCCUUGGCAAGGACAGGAGUUGCGGAAUGGUGGGGCACUGGGAUCAGAAGCUGGAUCUGUAUUUUCUUUGGAUGGUCAGGUGGAAAGAGGCUGGGACAAGGUUUCAAUGAAGGGUUGAGGCCGGGUGUGGUGGCUCACGCCUGUAAUCCCAGCACUUUGGGAGGCCGAGUUGGGUGGAUGACUUGAGGUCAGGAGUUCGAGACCAGCCUGGCCAACAUGGUGAAACCCCAUCUCUACUAAAAAUACAAAAAUCGGACAGGUGUGGUGGUGCGCUUCUGUAAUCCCAGCUACUCAGAAGGCUGAGGCAGGAGAAUCGCUUGAGCCCAGGAGG